AUAUUGGACAAUGGGGGCAACCCUGAUCCAGCCAUGCCGCGUGUGUGAAGAAGGUCUUCGGAUUGUAAAGCCCUUUAAGUUGGGAGGAAGGGCUUUAGGCUAAUACCCUGAAGUCUUGACGUUACCAACAGAAGAAGCACCGGCUAACUCUGUGCCAGCAGCCGCGGUAAUACAGAGGGUGCAAGCGUUAAUCGGAAUUACUGGGCGUAAAGCGCGCGUAGGUGGUUCAGUAAGAUGGGUGUGAAAUCACCGGGCUUAACCUGGGAACUGCUUUCAUAACUGCUGAGCUAAAGUACGGUAGAAGGUAGUGGAAUUUCCUGUGGAGCGGUGAAAUGCUUAGAUAUAGGAAGGAACACCAGUGGCGAAGGCGACGACCUGGACUGAUACUGACACUGAGGUGCGAAAGCGUGGGGAGCAAACAG
rnacentral:rRNA from 1 species